UACAGAGACCUCAAGCGUUAUCCGGAAUCACUGGGCGUAAAGCGUUCCGACAGGCGGCUUUGUAAGUUCUUCGUGAAAGCCUGGAGCUCAACUCCAGAAUUGCGAAGAAAACUAUAAAGCUAGAGGGACAAAGAGGGGGCUGGAACUCUCGGUGUAGCGGUGAAAUGCGUUGAUAUCGAGAGGAACACUCAAAGCGAAGGCAGGCCCCUGGGUGUUACCUGACGCUGCUAGGACGAAAGCGUGGGGAGCGAAUGGG
rnacentral:misc_RNA from 1 species